GAAUUUCUAGAACAGGAAUGACAAGAAUUAGAUGAUCCAGAACAGAAGGUUCAUGUAAGGGGCUGAAUCAUAUGAAACUGCCAGCCUUCAACCAUUUUUGAUUCACAUCAAUGUCAAUGUUACAUAGUUCAACCUAAUAUAAGCAAUGCUGGAAUGAAUUACCUUAUAUAUUUGCAAUUUUGCACAGAGAAUCAGGAACCAGGGCUGAUGCAUGACAUCUUGUAUAUAUAAACCUUUAAAAUCUAUCUGCAGAGGACAUUUGAGACUAAAAUAGAGUUCCUAAGAAAUACUGCGACACAGUUUUUGCUCCUUUCUUCCACUGCCUGUUGCGGGAAGUCAGGGACCCCAAACGGAGGGACCGGCUGAAGCCAUGACAGAAGAAGGUGGAUUGUGAAGAUUUCAUGGACAUUUAUUAGUUCCCCCAAUUAAUACUUUUGUAAUUUCUUAUGCCUGUCUUUACUGCAAUCUCUAAACAUAAAUUGUGAAGAUUUCACGGACACUUAUCACUUCCCCAAUCAAUACCACUGUGAUUUCCUAUGCCUGUCUUUACUUUAAUCUCUUAAUCCUGUCAGCUGAGGAGGAUGUAUGUUGUCUCAGGACCCUGUGAUAAUUGCGUUAACUGCACAAAUUGUAGAGCAUGUGUGUUUGAACAAUAUGAAAUCUGGGCACCUUGAAAAACGAACAGGAUAACAGCAAUGUUUAGGGAACAAAUUCCAACCGCCGGUGAGCCGGGUGGAACAGAGCCAUAUUUCUCUUCUUUCAAAAGCAAAUGGGAGAAAUAUUGCUGAAUUCUUUUUCUCAGCAAGGAACAUCCCUGAGAAAGAGAAUACGCCCCUGAGUGUGGGUCUCUAAAAUGGCCCCCUUGGGUGUGGCCGUUUUCUAUGGUCGAAACUGUAGGGAUGAAAUAAACCCCAGUCUCCCAUAGCGCUCCCAGGCUUAUUAGGAAGAGGAAAUUCCCACCUAAUAAAUUUUGGUCAGACCGGUUGCUCUCAAACCCUGUCUCCUGAUAAGAUGUUAUCAAUGACAAUGGUGCCCGAAACUUCAUUUGCAAUUUUAAUUUCGCCCCAGUCCUGUGGUCCUGUGAUCUCGCCCUGCCUCCAUUUGCCUUGUGAUAUUCUAUUACCUUGUGAAGUACGUGAUCUCUGUGAACCACACCUAUUUGUACACUCCCUCCCCUUUUGAAAAUCCCUAAUAAAAUCUUGCUUGUUUUGCGGCUUGUGGGGCAUCACGGAACCUACCGACAUGUGUUGUCUCCCCCGGACACCCAGCUUUAAAAUUUCUCUCUUUUGUACUCUGUCCCUUUAUUUCUCAACCCAGCUGAUGCUUAGGGAAAAUAGAAAAGAACCUACGUGACUAUCAGGGCAGGUUCCCUGAUAACUGUCCAAUCUCUCCACCUCACCACUUACCUCACCUCUACCCUCUACCCACCACCUCAAAUGGAAGAGCCAUGGGAUAAUCUGAUUAGAGCAUUAGGAAGAGGGACUGAGCAUGGAUGGAUAGCACAGUCUCUCAUAGAGCCUGCCUUCCUGUAUCCAAGAGAAAACUGUUCCUGGCAGAAAGACCAGCAAGGAUAGUCUCUGAAAUGGGAGGAAGCUGAAAGAUUUGAGAAACAAUCGGGAGGCCAGCAUGGCUGCAGCAAAAACCAACGGGACAUGAGUAGGCACUGAAGUCAGCAAAUGAAUGCUUUGUCUCUGCAGAUUGAAUGGACUUUGGCUUUCCACACCCCAACCCCCACCACCACCCAGCGACUUGGAACACCAUCACAGUUUUUUUUUAAUUAUUUUUAAUUGAAAAUAAUUGUAAAUAUUUAUCUUAUAAAACAUAAUAUUUUGAAAGAUGCAUGCAUAGUGAAUGGGCUUAACUGUGCUAAUUAACAUAUACAUUAUUUAACAUAUUUAUUUUUUGUGAUGAAAAUAUUUAAAAUCUACUCCUUUGGCAAUUUUCAGGAAUACAGUACAUUUUUGUUUAUUGUAGUUAUCAUGUUGUCCAAUAGAUCACUUGAACAUUUCCCCUCCUAUCUAACUGAAAUUUUUUGUUCUUUGACCAAAGACUCCCACCCCACUCCAGCCUCUGGUAACCACCAUUUUACUGUCUGCUUCUGUGAGUUGAACUUUUUCAGAUACCACAUAUAAGUAAUGUCAGCCAUCACGAUUUUGAGGAGGGGAGCGACAGGGUGAGAUUUACACCUCACCAAGCUCACUCUGGUUGCUAGAUUGGGCUUAGUAUUACAAGUCAGAGGUAAUGAAAGAUUCACCCAGGUGAAGGUAAAGAGAUAAGGAGAUAAGAGACAAGAAGUGGUCAAAUUCUGUAUAUAGAAAUAAAAGGGAGAGUUUUCAGAAUUUUCUAUGUUUUGAAAGUAGGUCCCUUUUACCUUUCUCUUGCUUCCAGAUUGUAUCACAGACCAUUAGGUUAAACAAAUUAUCCAUUCACAUUCAAAGAUAAUGCAAAGGCAACAUUCAGGAUUCCAGAUAUUUUUCACUUUUUUUCUGCAGUCACUGAGGUUUUAUGUGACUAGUCUUAUGUAUUAGUUGGUUCCAUCACCCCACUUCCCCUCCCACCCACCCCCAUCCACACACAGCACAACAAUGAAAAAAAAAAUCUGUUUGCCAGCAUAGAACUGUGAAGCAGUAACUCACAUCUAAUAACCAUGGAAGCCUAAUGACACCAAAAAGGUCUGAAGGGGAUCCUCAAAGGAUUGCAAAUUGGUAUGAACAUGUAUUUCCCAGUAGGAACGUCAUGUUAUUUAGUUUUACAUACAAUUAUCUGCAUUUCUCAGUGUUAAAGACUUUGAAAUAUAAAAUAAAUCAUGGCUCAAAUGUAUAGGCCUGUAUUAGAUCUCAAAGGAUAUAAAACUUCUACUAUAAACGUGGUAGAAAUGUUAUCUUGUAUCUACCUCUGUCCACCCUUCUACCUCCUAAAUUACAGUGAGCAAUUGGAUCUGCCAGGGGUAAGAAACGAAAGCAUUUGUGCUUGAAGGGUUCUGGUUGCCUAAGACAGACAAGACAUGAGUAGGCUUUCAGUACUGCAUAUUUCUGUGGCUUCCCAUGACAAUCUGUAGAGCAAACAACAACUAUGACACUACAGUGUUCUGGAAAUUGGUUAGAUUAGAGAAAAAACAAAACUCUUUAGGUUUCAAAUUAAUUACCUACAUAUAUUCUGUGCAUCCCAUUUUUCAGAUGAAAAGAGGUAGAGGAUAAAUAAUCUACCCUGGAUCACACGGUCAGUUUGUAACAGUAAGAAUCCUUAAUUCCUGUUUUUUUUUUUCUUCCUCACAAUUGAAUACUGUUUUCACGAUGACAUAAUGUACAGCCUUAACCAGAGGAAAGGAUUUCAAUACUAUAUGUGCUUCUGUGUUUAAUAGUCUAUAGUAUAAUAUAGAAUUAUGCCAUUUUGAAAUGGCUUUGGUGUAUCACCACACCGUUCUUUUAUAUAAAAUUAAAUGAAAUACUGGUAAAUUAAAGAGGUAUUAGGUUGGUGCAAAAGUAACCGCAGUUUUUUUUUUUUUUUGCCAUACUUUUAAUGGCAAAAACCACAAUUACUUUUGCACCAACAUAAUAGUACAGCAGUGUUUAAGAGUAUGACAUUUACAUUUAAAUCUCAGAAGCUUACUUACUGCAUACAUGACAUUGGUCUAGUUAUUUCAACUCUGUAUGUUUUAAGUUGUUUUUCUUCUAUAAAACAGAGAAAUUAAUGGCAUUUACGUCACAUUUGGCUAUGAGGAUGAACUAAAUAAAAACAUGUAAAUCAUUUAAUAUAGUCUCUGUGCAUAGAAUGCAUUAAAUAAUGUUAAUAAUAUUAUUAUGAAGUUCAUUCUACUGAGCUGACAAUGAGAAACACCCUUUAUUACAUUAAUAUUAGUUUUAUUCUACACAUAGAUAUUUUGUGUUGAAGAAAAGCAACUUUUAAAGUCAGAAAAUAAGGCAAUACAUGGCAAAAUGCUUAGAAGCUAAUGUGUGUCCUAGAGGUGUUGAGGUUUGUUGUAUUAUAAAUAAUACUGUUCACAUUAUCCCUCCUG
rnacentral:lncRNA from 1 species